rnacentral:rRNA from 1 species
UACGGGGGGGGUAAGCGUUGUUCGGAAUUACUGGGCGUAAAGGGCUCGUAGGCGGCCAACUAAGUCAUACGUGAAAUCCCUCAGCUUAACUGGGGAACUGCGUGUGAUACUGGAUGGCUUGGAUUUGGGAGAGGGAUGCGGAAUUCCAGGUGUAGCGGUGAAAUGCGCAGAUAUCAGGAGGAACACCAAUAGCGAAGGCAGCUCGCUGGGACGGUAUUGACGCUAAGGCGCGAAAGCGUGGGGAGCAAACAGG